ACGGAAGGCAGCAGUGAGGAAUAUUGGUCAAUGGGCGGAAGCCUGAACUAGCCAAGUCGCGUGAAGGAUGAAGGUUCUAUGGAUUGUAAACUUCUUUUGCCUGAGGGUAAAGGACGGUACGUGUACCGUUUUGCAAGUAUCAGGUGAAUAAGCAUCGGCUAACUCCGUGCCAGCAGCCGCGGUAAUACGGAGGAUGCGAGCGUUAUCCGGAUUUAUUGGGUUUAAAGGGUGCGUAGGCGGUUUGUUAAGUCUGUGGUAAAAGCGUGUGGCUCAACCAUACCAAGCCAUGGAAACUGGCGGACUUGAGUGUAAACGAGGUAGGCGGAAUAUCAUGUGUAGCGGUGAAAUGCUUAGAUAUGUGAUAGAACCCCGAUUGCGAAGGCAGCUUACCAGCAUACAACUGACGCUGAGGCACGAAAGCGUGGGUAUCAAACAGGAUUAGAUACCCUGGUA
rnacentral:rRNA from 1 species